rnacentral:tRNA from 1 species
AAAACAUUAGAUUGNGAAUCUAACAAUAGAAACUCAUUACCUUCUUAUUUACC